rnacentral:rRNA from 1 species
AUUGAACGCUGGCGGCAGGCUUAACACAUGCAAGUCGAGCGAGCGGCGGACGGGUGAGUAAUGUCUGGGAAACUGCCUGAUGGAGGGGGAUAACUACUGGAAACGGUAGCUAAUACCGCAUACCAUCAGAUGUGCCCAGAUGGGAUUAGCUAGUAGGUGGGGUAAUGGCUCACCUAGGCGACGAUCCCUAGCUGGUCUGAGAGGAUGACCAUCCACACUGGAACUGGGAAACGGUCCAGAAUCCUACGGGAGGCAGCAGUGGUGAGUAUUGCACAAUGGGCGCAAGCCUGAUGCAGCAAUGCCGCGUGUAUGAAGAAGGCCUUCGGGUUGGAAAGUACUUUCAGCGGGGAGGCGUUACUCGUAGAAGAAGCACCGGCUAACUCCGUGCCAGCAGCCGCGGUAAUUC